GCAAAGUAGAGAGAUGGGACUAUCAGGAGUCUGCCCAACUCUGAAGAGCACCACAGCCCAGCACCCUCUCAAGAGAAAGAUCCUUACAUCCUCUCAAGAGAAAAAUCCUUAACAAUGUGAGGCAAGCGCCUAUAAAGACCUCGGGGAUCUGCUGGCUUAGUCUACAACCAUCCUUUCCAAGCCCAGUCCCUAGGGACCAGAGGGUCAGAACCUCAGCUCCCUAGGACCAAGAAAGUCUAGCACAAUUCUUAGGCAUAUGAAGGGCAAGGCCUCCGUCCAUUCGGAAUUGAAGACUUCAACCAGGAGUAUGGGCACAUUCCCAUAAUGCUAGGCCACUAGGAAGUUUCCCAGAGUGUCUGGCUCCUGUCGUUCCCUACCCAGGAAGAUGAUAUAAAAAGUACAGAUUGCCCCACAGGUCACCAGGCAAUUGCCCAACUGCCCGCUGGGGUGGUACCAGCAGAACUCCCCCCAUGCCUGCUCCAUCAGACAAUCGCUGAUCUAGUUCAUUCGGGUUUUAAAAGGUGAGGAUCACAGCUCAGUCUUUUCCCAGGAUCCUGAGAAGCUCCUGAUUUUCCCUCAAGCCUAAGGCAAAGAGAUUCAGAACCUCCUUAUCCCACUGACUCCAAGAGAGCCUGUUCUCCGAUAUCUCCAAGAGAGCCUAUCCUCCGAUAGGAGGGGAAGCCCCUCCAACCUGCAGGCCAGGAGAGACCAUCUGGUCCACCCCCCACACCACCCCCAUUUUCAGAGGGGAAAUGGAGGUGUGGAGCAACGGAGCAGCCUAACCAAAGACCUGUCACAGACACACCACUCCAGUCACAACCGGCCUUGUGACAGUUUCUACUUAAACUCUGGCUGCCCCCAUGAGGGUAUGACAGGAUAUGUAACAGGCCACCACAUGGCCUCUGUUUUCAAGGCACAAGAAAAAUACUUUGCAUUCGG